rnacentral:hammerhead_ribozyme from 1 species
GCACUUCUGAGCAGUCCUACAACAGGACGAAACGGUCGUCCAGUGC